rnacentral:rRNA from 1 species
CUCUACCUACGGGACGCAGCAGUGGGGAAUAUUGGGCAAUGGAGGCGACUCUGACCCAGCAACGCCGCGUGAAUGAUGAAGGUCUUCGGAUUGUAAAGUUCUUUUCUAAGGGAAGAAGAAAGUGACGGUACCUUAGGAAUAAGCCUCGGCUAACUACGUGCCAGCAGCCGCGGUAAUACGUAGGAGGCAAGCGUUAUCCGGAAUGACUGGGCGUAAAGGGUGCGUAGGGGGUUUGACAAGUUAGUAGCGCAACUCCGGAGCUUAACUUCGGAACUACUACUAAAACUGUUGGACUAGAGUGAAGG